rnacentral:rRNA from 1 species
CCUACGGGGGCUGCAGUGGGGAAUAUUGGACAAUGGGGGCAACCCUGAUCCAGCCAUGCCGCGUGUGUGAAGAAGGCCCUCGGGUUGUAAAGCACUUUCAGUGAGGAAGAACGCCUGGUGGUUAAUACCCAUCAGGAAAGACAUCACUCACAGAAGAAGCACCGGCUAACUCCGUGCCAGCAGCCGCGGUAAUACGGAGGGUGCGAGCGUUAAUCGGAAUUACUGGGCGUAAAGCGCGCGUAGGUGGCUUGAUAAGCCGGUUGUGAAAGCCCCGGGCUCAACCUGGGAACGGCAUCCGGAACUGUCAAGCUAGAGUGCAGGAGAGGAAGGUAGAAUUCCCGGUGUAGCGGUGAAAUGCGUAGAGAUCGGGAGGAAUACCAGUGGCGAAGGCGGCCUUCUGGACUGACACUGACACUGAGGUGCGAAAGCGUGGGUAGCAAACAGGAUUAGAUACCCGGGUAGUC